UACGUAGGGGGCAAGCGUUGUCCGGAUUUAUUGGGCGUAAAGCGCGUGUAGGCGGUCACGCAGGUCCGCUGUGAAAACUCGAGGCUCAACCUCGAGCUGUCGGUGGAAACCGCGUGGCUAGAGUCCGGAAGAGGGGACUGGAAUUCCCGGUGUAGCGGUGGAAUGCGCAGAUAUCGGGAGGAACACCCGUGGCGAAGGCGGGUCCCUGGGACGGUACUGACGCUGAGACGCGAAAGCGUGGGGAGCGAACAGG
rnacentral:rRNA from 1 species